CGAUGAAGUCUAGCUUGCUAGACGGAUUAGUGGCGAACGGGUGAGUAAUGGUUAGGAAUCUGCCUAUUAGUGGGGGAUAACGUAGGGAAACUUACGCUAAUACCGCAUACGUCUUACGAGAGAAAGGGGCCCGACCACUAAAUUUAAUUUUAAGUAAUUGUCUUUUAAAUUAAUACAAUUUGUGCUUAUUAAGCAACACCUAACUUAAUUAGGAUGAGUUAAAUUUAGUGGUCGGGUCUCGCUAAUAGAUGAGCCUAAGUCGGAUUAGCUAGUUGGUGGGGUAAAGGCCUUCCAAGGCGACGAUCUGUAGCUGGUCUGAGAGGAUGAUCAGCCACACUGGGACUGAGACACGGCCCAGACUCCUACGGGAGGCAGCAGUGGGGAAUAUUGGACAAUGGGCGAAAGCCUGAACCAGCCAUGCCGCGUGUGUGAAGAAGGCCUUUUGGUUGUAAAGCACUUUAAGUGGGGAGGAAAAGCUUGUGGUUAAUACCCACAAGCCCUGACGUUACCCACAGAAUAAGCACCGGCUAACUCUGUGCCAGCAGCCGCGGUAAUACAGAGGGUGCAAGCGUUAAUCGGAAUUACUGGGCGUAAAGCGAGCGUAGGUGGUCAUUUAAGUCAGAUGUGAAAGCCCCGGGCUUAACCUGGGAACUGCAUCUGAUACUGGGUGACUAGAGUAGGUGAGAGGGAAGUAGA
rnacentral:rRNA from 1 species